AGAAGCAUAAUAUAAAUAAAUAAUAACGAUAAUAAGAAUAAUAAAGAUAAUGAUAAAAAAAAAUAAUGAUUACAAUAAUAAAAAAUGAUAAUAAUAAUAUUGAUAAUAACAAAACAACUAAUAAUACUAGUACUAAUAAUAAUAAUAAUAUAAGAUCUCCAAUCACCUACAAUUUUUUGAAAAUAAAUAAGUGGAUGAAUAAAUAAAUAAAACAAGAAAAAUAAAUAAAUACCACACGAACGUAACAAUAAUCUAAAUAUUAAACUAAAGCACAAAAAUAAAAAUAAAAUAUCAAGCAUAUACAAUUAGACAUCAAAAAUUCCUCUCG
rnacentral:lncRNA from 1 species